UGGGGAAUAUUGGACAAUGGGGGCAACCCUGAUCCAGCAAUGCCGCGUGUGUGAAGAAGGUUUUCGGAUUGUAAAGCACUUUCGACGGGGACGAUGAUGACGGUACCCGUAGAAGAAGCCCCGGCUAACUUCGUGCCAGCAGCCGCGGUAAUACGAAGGGGGCUAGCGUUGCUCGGAAUGACUGGGCGUAAAGGGCGUGUAGGCGGUUUGUACAGUCAGAUGUGAAAUCCCCGGGCUUAACCUGGGAGCUGCAUUUGAUACGUGCAGACUAGAGUGUGAGAGAGGGUUGUGGAAUUCCCAGUGUAGAGGUGAAAUUCGUAGAUAUUGGGAAGAACACCGGUGGCGAAGGCGGCAACCUGGCUCAUAACUGACGCUGAGGCGCGAAAGCGUGGGGAGCAAACAGGAUUAGAUACCCUGGUAGUCCACGCUGUAAACGAUGUGUGCUAGAUGUUGGGUAACUUAGUUAUUCAGUGUCGCAGUUAACGCGUUAAGCACACCGCCUGGGGAGUACGGCCGCAAGGUUG
rnacentral:rRNA from 1 species